AGAUAGGCCAAACUGAAGUGAUCCAGAUCCAUGCAGGUGCUGUUUGGAUGUCUCUCAGCAGCUUAGCAGAGGGCUAAACUGGAAGUAAGCCCCUCAGAUGCAACCUGCUCCAGGGACCCAAUGAUAUGGAUUCAUAGCAGGAGAUCCAGGUAAUUU